GAGGGUAUAGCUCAGUGGUAGAGUGUGUGCCUAGCACACACAAGGUCCCUGGUUCGAUCCCCAGGUCCUCU
rnacentral:tRNA from 1 species